CUCCUCCAUCUUCUCUACUGCAGGGGUUCCCAAACUUGGUUCAUGGCUUCUUCAGGGGAAGCCCCUGGCAGGCCGCGAAUCACUUUGUUUACUUGAGCAUCUGCAGGUACGGAUGCUCGCAGUUCCCA